AUGAGCAUGCGUCCCAUUAGCUAGAUGGUAAGGUAACGGCUUACCAUGGGCUACGAUGGGUAGGGGUCCUGAGAGGGAGAUCCCCCACACUGGUACUGAGACACGGACCAGACUCCUACGGGAGGCAGCAGUGAGGAAUAUUGGACAAUGGGCGCAAGCCUGAUCCAGCCAUGCCGCGUGCAGGAUGACGGUCCUAUGGAUUGUAAACUGCUUUUUAUACGGGAAGAAACACUCCGACGUGUCGGAGCUUGACGGUACUGUAAGAAUAAGGAUCGGCUAACUCCGUG
rnacentral:rRNA from 1 species